AUGUUGUCUUCCUUUCAGAAACAAGAAAAAUUAAAAGACUAUGUUGAGUGCUCGCGCUACCGCUUGGGUGUGAGGAAUGUUUUCACCGUAUAUGUUCCAGGUAAAGAUGGGGGUCUUGCUGUGUUCUGGGAUGAGCUUUUCUCGUUGGAAUUAAAUAAUUUUGGCGAUCACUUCAUCAACAUGUAUAUUCGCAAUGAAGAUGGCUCUUCCUGGAGGUGCGCCUUUAUUUAUGGGGAGUCGAAAGCGAGUCAAAGGUACGUUAUGUGGGAUCUCUUGAGGCGUGUGAAACCUCUUGGGGUGGGUCCUUGGUUUUUGGUAGGUGAUUUUAACGAAGCCAUGUGGCAGGAUGAGCAUUUUUUUCGUCAUUAA
rnacentral:rRNA from 1 species